CCUACGGGAGGCAGCAGUGAGGAAUAUUGGUCAAUGGACGAGAGUCUGAACCAGCCAAGUAGCGUGAAGGAUGACUGCCCUAUGGGUUGUAAACUUCUUUUAUAAAGGAAUAAAACGAGGCACGUGUGCCUUUUUGCAUGUACUUUAUGAAUAAGGAUCGGCUAACUCCGGGCCAGCAGCCGCGGUAAUACGGAGGAUCCGAGCGUUAUCCGGAUUUAUUGGGUGUAAAGGGAGCGUAGAUGGGUUGAUAAGUCAGGUGUGAAAGUUUGGGGCUAAACCGUAAAAUUGCAAUUGAUACUGGGAGGUUUGAGUACAGGUGAGGUAGGGGGAAUUCGUGGUGUAGCGGUGAAAUGCGUAGAUAUUACGAAGAACCCCGAUUGCGAAGGCAGCUUACUAAACUGUGACUGACAUUGAUGCUCGAAAGUGUGGGUAUCAAACAGGAUUAGAUACCCCAGUAGUC
rnacentral:rRNA from 1 species